AUUGAACGCUGGCGGCAGGCUUAACACAUGCAAGUCGAGCGAGCGGCGGACGGGUGAGUAAUGUCUGGGAACCUCCCUGCUGGCGGGGGAUAACCACUGGAAACCGUCGCUAAUACCGCAUACCAUCAGAUGUGCCCAGAUGGGAUUGGCUAGUCGGUGGGGUGAGGGCUCACCUAGGCGACGAUCCCUAGCUGGUCUGAGAGGAUGACCGGCCACACGGGAACUGAGACACGGUCCGGACGCCUACGGGAGGCAGCAGUGGGGAAUAUGGGACAAUGGGCGCAAGCCUGAUGCAGCCAUGCCGCGGGUGUGAAGAAGGCCUUCGGGUUGUAAAGCACUGUCAGCGAGGAGGCGGUACUCGCAGAAGAAGCACCGGCUAACUCCGUGCCAGCAGCCGCGGUAAUAC
rnacentral:rRNA from 1 species